AUUGAACGCUGGCGGCAGGCCUAACACAUGCAAGUCGAACGAGUGGCGGACGGGUGAGUAAUGUCUGGGAAAAUGCCCGAGGGAGGGGGAUAACUACUGGAAACGGUAGCUAAUACCGCAUACCAUCGGAUGUGCCCAGAUGGGAUGAGCUGGUCGGUGAGGUAACGUCUCACCGAGGCGACGAUCCCUAGCUGGUCUGAGAGUAUGACCAGCCACACUGGAACUGAGACACGUUCCAGACUCCUACGUGAGGCAGCAGGGGGGAAUAUUGCACAAUGGGCGCAAGCCUGAUGCAGCCAUGCCGCGUGUAUGAAGAAGGCCGUCGGGUUGUAAAGUACUUUCAGCGGGGAGGCGUUACCCGCAGAAGAAGCACCGGCUAACUCAGUGCCAGCAGCCGCGGUAAUAC
rnacentral:rRNA from 1 species